AACGAACGCUGGCGGCAUGCCUAACACAUGCAAGUCGAACGAGAUCUUCGGGUCUAGUGGCGCACGGGUGCGUAACGCGUGGGAAUCUGCCCUUUGGUUCGGAAUAACAGUUGGAAACGACUGCUAAUACCGGAUGAUGACGAAAGUCCAAAGAUUUAUCGCCAGAGGAGGAGCCCGCGUAGGACUAGCUAGUUGGUGUGGUAAAGGCGCACCAAGGCGACGAUCCUUAGCUGGUCUGAGAGGAUGAUCAGCCACACUGGGACUGAGACACGGCCCAGACUCCUACGGGAGGCAGCAGUGGGGAAUAUUGGACAAUGGGCGAAAGCCUGAUCCAGCAAUGCCGCGUGAGUGAUGAAGGCCUUAGGGUUGUAAAGCUCUUUUACCCGGGAUGAUAAUGACAGUACCGGGAGAAUAAGCUCCGUCUAACUCCGUGCCAGCCGCCGCAGUAA
rnacentral:rRNA from 1 species